GUGGCAGAAUUUCAACAAAAUAUUGAAGAUGAAGAAUACAAAAUGAAUCUGUAGUCAAAGGUAAAAGAAAAUGAAAGGAGUUGGACAUGAAAGGUCUCCAUUUGGUCGUCGAUAUCAGGAAACACUACCGAAAAUGAUGAAAUUGUAUCACUUCAAUCCUGAGUGAAAUACACAUGAAUUUUGGGAACAACUUAUUCCAGAGAGAAUCCCACCUUCAACCUAAUGGGAAGGAAGUAGGAAGUAAUUCCACCACUGAGUAAAAGUUCAAAGCCUCAAAGUUUUACUUUGCGUUUACUGUGGGUUUUGGCUUGAGGAUCUCAGCAUAAAAGCAGCUCUCUAUCUCUUUGACAGGCAAAAACUCAACUAAGAGGAACAAUGACAUACAGAGAGAACUAUAAAACUAAACACAAAGGAAAGCUCUAUCGAUUUCAAGUGGCUACACGUUUUGCUGAGGCUCAACUCUGGUUUUGCCGGGCCAGGUCUCAGGACCUCAGCAUCACCUCCUGCCUCAGCCUGGUUGUUACCCUUUCUUCUGGGAGGCUUCUGCUUCCUAGACCUUGAGAAGGUCUGGCAGACACAGCUUAGGAAACUGCCAAAGCAGAGUGGUGGUGAUGCCAAGGAUGUCACUGCAGGAGAAGAGGGCCUGGGCUUCUGAGCCACCGAGAGCUCACAGGACUGGAUCUGACAUUCCUGAUGCAUCACACCGGAACCCUCUUCCUGCAGAUACUGUAAUCUGUCCUGUCCUUGAUGAUCUGAUUCCAUGCCAUCUGUCCAACUUCAAC
rnacentral:lncRNA from 1 species